rnacentral:rRNA from 1 species
AAAAAUUAUAUCAUUUAUAUUUUCAAUUAUAUAAUAUUAUAAAAAUAUUAAAUUAAAAAAUUAGUAUAAAUAAUAUAAAAUUUUUAUAUUUAAUAAAAUUUAAUAAUAAAAAAUAAAAAAAUUUUAUUCAUUAAAUUAUUAGACUGUUUAACAAAAUCAUAUCUAUAAUUUUUAUAGUCUAUUCUGCUCAAUGAAAUUAUUUAAAUAGCUGUUAAUAACACUAAGGUAGCGAAAUCAUUAGCUACUUAAUUGGUAACUUGUAUGAAGGGAUUAACUAAAAAUUUAUUUUAUAAAAAAUAUAAAUUAUAAAUUUGUUGAAAAUAACAAUAUUUAUUCCAAGACAAAAAGACCCUA